GAAAUAAAGGAAGGGCGCAUGGCGGAUGCCUAGGCUCUUGGAGGCGAAGAAGGACGUGAUAAGCUGCGAAAAGCGUCGGGGAUCGGCAAAUACGAUUUGAUCCGACGAUAUCCGAAUGGGGCAACCCGACAGGCGGAAGGCCUGUCACCCUGUCAUGCAGGGAGCUAACCCUCUGAACUGAAACAUCUAAGUAGGAGGAGGAGAAGAAAGAAACAUCGAUUUCCCAAGUAGUGGCGAGCGAACGGGAAAUAGCCUAAACCGGAUCUGUUACGGCAGGUUCGGGGUUGUAGGACUACAGAUUCAAGAUCACGAACGAACUGGAAUUACCUGGAAAGGUAAGCGAUAGAGGGUGAUAGCCCCGUACAGGCAAGUUAGUGUGCGAAAGUAGUAUCCUGAGUAGGGCGGGACACGGGAAAUCCUGUCUGAAUCCGCGGGGACCACCCCGUAAGGCUAAAUACUACCAAGAGACCGAUAGUGAACCAGUACUGUGAAGGAAAGGUGAAAAGAACCAUGAACAAUGGAGUGCAAUAGAACCUGAAACCGUGCGCCUACAAUCGGUGGGAGCCGCUUCGUGCGGUGACCGCGUGCCUUUUGCAUAAUGAGCCUACGAGUUACUCAUCACCGGCAAGGUUAAGGACAUGGAUGUCCGGAGCCGAAGCGAAAGCGAGUCUGAAGAGGGCGCCAGAGUCGGUGGUGGUAGACGCGAAACCUUGCGAUCUACCCAUGACCAGGAUGAAGGUGAGGUAGCACUCACUGGAGGUCCGCACCAGUUUCCGUUGAAAAGGAUUUGGAUGAGUUGUGGGUAGGGGUGAAAGGCUAAUCAAGCUGGGAAAUAGCUCGUACUCCCCGAAAUGCUUUUAGGAGCAGCCUUACGGGAGGGACACGGAGGUAGAGCUACUGAUUGGAUGCGGGGGCUUCAUCGCCUACCAAAUCCUGACAAACUCCGAAUGCCGUGUUACCGCUCCGUAGGAGUGAGCCGCCGGGUGCUAACGUCCGGUGACAAGAGAGGAACAACUCAGACCAACAGCUAAGGCCCCGAAGCAUAUACUAAGUUAUACUAACGAUGUGCGGUUGCAACGACAGCUAGGAUGUUAGCUUGGAAGCAGCUAUUCAUUUAAAGAGUGCGUAACAGCUCACUAGUCGAGCGACUGUGCGUGGAUAAUAAACGGGUAUCAAGUAUAUCGCCGAAGCUAUGGAUUCAUGUUUAGAUAUAUGAAUGGUAGGGGAGCAUUCCAUCGACGCCGAAGCGGGUCCGUAAGGGUCCGUGGAGUUUAUGGAAAAGCAAAUGUAGGCAUAAGUAACGAUAAGGCGGGUUAGAUGCCCGCCCACCGCAAGACCAAGGUUUCCUGAUCAACGUUAAUCGGAUCAGGGUUAGUCGGGGCCUAAGGCUAAGCCGAACGGCGAAGUCGAUGGACAAACGGUUAAUAUUCCGUUACCGACUGCAACUGCGAUGGAGAGACGAAGAAGUGACUUUAGCGCCGGCUGACGGAAUAGCCGGUUAAAGGGUGUAGAUAGACGGAUAUGUUAAUAGCGUGUCUGUGUCGAACCUGACAGUACCGAGAGCCUUCGGGCGAUCGGAUAGUCUGAAGGAAUCACGCUUCCGAGAAAAUCUUCUAAGCUUCAGGUUGCAGCCGCCCGUACCGUAAACCGACACAGGUGGUCGAGGAGAGUAUCCUCAGGUGCUUGAGUGAUUCAUGGUUAAGGAACUCGGCAUAAUAACUCCGUAACUUAGGGAGAAGGAGUCCUCACGAGUAGUGAGGCGCAGCGAAGAGGUCCAAGCGACUGUUUAACAAAAACAUAGGGCUAUGCGAAUUCGAAAGACGAAGUAUAUGGCCUGACACCUGCCCGGUGCUGGAAGGUUAAGAGGGGAUGUUAAUCGCAAGAUGAAGCAUUGAAUCGAAGCCCCAGUAAACGGCGGCCGUAACUAUAACGGUCCUAAGGUAGCGAAAUUCCUUGUCGGGUAAGUUCCGACCUGCACGAAUGGUGUAACGAUUUGGACGCUGUCUCAACCAUGAGCUCAGUGAAAUUGUAGUACCGGUGAAGAUGCCGGUUACCCCCAACGGGACGGAAAGACCCCGUGAACCUUUACUGCAGCUUAACGCUGGAUUUGGGUGCAUAAUGUGUAGGAUAGGCAGGAGGCAAUGAAUCGGGUACGCCAGUAUUCGUGGAGCCGCAAGAUGAAAUACUGCCCUUUGUGUAUUUGAGUCCUAACUCCUGGGAAAUGGAGGACACCGUUUGGUGGGUAGUUUGACUGGGGUGGUCGCCUCCAAAAGCGUAACGGAGGCUUCCCAAGGUACCCUCAGCACGGAUGGCAAUCGUGCGGCGAGUGCAAUGGCACAAGGGUGCUUGACUGCGAGACCGACGGGUCGAACAGGUGAGAAAUCAGGGCAUAGUGAUCCGGUGAUUCAGAGUGGAAUGGUCAUCGCUCAAAGGAUAAAAGGUACUCCGGGGAUAACAGGCUGAUCGCUCCCAAGAGCUCAAAUCGACGGAGCGGUUUGGCACCUCGAUGUCGGCUCGUCACAUCCUGGGGCUGGAGAAGGUCCCAAGGGUUCGGCUGUUCGCCGAUUAAAGUGGCACGCGAGCUGGGUUCAGAACGUCGUGAGACAGUUCGGUCCCUAUCUGUUGGGGGCGCAGGAAGUUUGAGGGGUCCUGACUUUAGUACGAGAGGACCGAGUUGGACGAACCUCUGGUUUACCGGUUGUGUCGCCAGAUGCACCGCCGGGUAUCUAAGUUCGGUCGGGAUAAGCGCUGAAAGCAUCUAAGCGCGAAGCCCUCCCCAAGAUAAUACUUCCCUCGAGGGUCGUAGGAGACUACUACGUAGAUAGGCUACAGGUGUACGCACAGCGAUGUGUUCAGCCGAGUAGUACUAAUCACCCGAAAGCGUUUUUUU
rnacentral:rRNA from 1 species